UUUUUUUUUUUACAGGAUGAUGCUCAUAUUUUCUGCAGGGAGUCCCAGAUAAAAGAUGAAGUAAGAGGUGUCCUGGAAUUCAUCGAUUAUGCUUACACGAUAUUCGGGUUCAAAUAUGAGCUGAAGCUAUCAACUAGGCCAGAAAAUUAUCUGGGUAACUUGGCCACAUGGGAGAAAGCCGAAGCUGCUCUUACAGAAGCAUUGACUGAGUUUGGUAAACCCUGGCAGGUAAUUUUUUUCUUUACCUUUAAUAAAUUAUAAAUGU